AUUGAACGCUGGCGGCAUGCUUUACACAUGCAAGUCGAACGGUAACAGGCCUUCGGGUGCUGACGAGUGGCGAACGGGUGAGUAAUGCAUCGGAACGUACCCAGAGGUGGGGGAUAACGCAGCGAAAGCUGUGCUAAUACCGCAUGUGAUCUGAGGAUGAAAGCGGGGGACCGAGCAGCAAUGUUUGGCCUCGCGCCUUUGGAGCGGCCGAUGUCGGAUUAGCUAGUUGGUGGGGUAAAGGCCUACCAAGGCGACGAUCCGUAGCUGGUCUGAGAGGACGACCGGCCACACUGGGACUGAGACACGGCCCAGACUCCGACGGGAGGCAGCAGUGGGGAAUUUUGGACAAUGGGCGCAAGCCUGAUCCAGCAAUGCCGCGUGCGGGAAGAAGGCCUUCGGGUUGUAAACCGCUUUUGGCAGGAACGAAACGGUGUCCGCUAAUACCGGGCGAUAAUGACGGUACCUGCAGAAUAAGCACCGGCUAACUACGUG
rnacentral:rRNA from 1 species